rnacentral:rRNA from 1 species
GCUGAAACUCGCCUACAUGAAGCUGGAGUUACUAGUAAUCGCAGAUCAGAAUGCUGCGGUGAAUGCGUUCCCGGGUCUUGUACACACCGCACGUCACACAACGGGAGGUGGAGACGCACGAAGCCGAUUAUCUAACCGUUUGGAAGAAGUCGUCGAAGGGGGAAUCAAUAACUGGGGUGAAGUCGUAACAAGGUAGCCGUAUCGGAAGGUGCGGCUGGAUCACCUCCUUUCUAAGGAGA